AAGUCGUAACAAGGUUUCCGUAGGUGAACCUGCGGAAGGAUCAUUAUUGAUUGCGAAUCGUUGCCUUCAGUGCUGGCCGGCUUCGGCAAGUGCACGUCGGUGACUUUCAUCCAAUAUCCUGUGAACCUUUGGCCUCUUGCUAGCUUUGGCCGGCAGAGGAUUUUUACACAAACUCGAAUGUAAUGAAAUUUAUUGUCGUGCGCAAGCACUAAUGUACAACUUUCAACAACGGAUCUCUUGGCUCUC
rnacentral:misc_RNA from 1 species